rnacentral:rRNA from 1 species
GACGAACCAUGCAAACGUUAUUCGGAUUCACUGGGCUUAAAGCGUGCGUAGGCGGUCUUGUUAGUCAGGUGUGAAAGCCCUCAGCCUAACUGAGGAAUUGCGCUUGAUACUGCAUGACUAGGAGAAUGAUAGAGGUGGGUGGAACUGAUGGUGGAGCGGUGAAAUGACGUUGAUAUCAUCAGGAACACCAGUCGGCGAAGGCGAACCCACUGG